rnacentral:misc_RNA from 1 species
AAUGAAGCAUAAUGUGUAAAAGAAAAUAGAAAAUAGAUCAUCUAUGAUAGUUAAUUUGUGUUGAAAAGAGAAGGCUUUCUAAUAUAUGCAUAACAAACCUUAGCAAUUUAGUGUCUCUAAUUUAACAAGCAUAUGAGUGCAAAAAAAUUCUUGAUUCUACGCGCAAACUAGCAACUUAAGAAAAGAAAAUGUAGUACUAAUUAAUGAGGUAUGUGAAAGAUAACUAAAAAAGUAAAUAGACAUACUAUUUAUAAACUGAUAGAGUCUCAAGGUUUCAAUAUGUUGGUGUAAUGAGGAAUUUAGAGAAGUUUGUAAUAAGUCGCUGUGUAUUGUUUUGAUGUUGUUACAAGACUAAGGUAAGAGCUUAUUCAAAAAUGGUCAAGGAAUUGAGCGGCUUGAACUAAAUAUUAAUGCAUAACUAAGGUCCAAUAGUGCAGGAAAGGUUGUGAAUACAGCAAAUUAAUGAAAUAAAUACUGAGAUAGGACAUAGAAGGAUAAUAUUUUGUUUUGACCAAUGAGCUUUAGCUCGGUUGUAAUGGAGUCAUCUCCAUGAUUAAUGAGGUUUUGAGUUGGAACCUUAAUCAAAACUAAUUGGACAAAAAUAAAUUUUUAAUUGUUUACGAUGAUGAUCACAGUUCAAAGCG